rnacentral:rRNA from 1 species
CCUACGGGUGGCAGCAGUGAGGAAUAGUGGUCAAUGGGCGCGAGCCUGAACCAGCGAAGUAGCGUGAAGGAAGAAGGCCCUACGGGUUGAAAACUUCAGUUAUAAAGGAAAAAAGUGAGGCACGAGUGCAUUUUUGUAUGUACGUUAUGAAUAAGGAACGGCUAACUCCGUGCCAGCAGCCGCGGUAAUACGGAGGAUCCGAGCGGUAUCCGGAUUUAGUGGGUGUAAAGGGAGCGUAGAUGGGUUGUUAAGUCAGUUGUGAAAGUUUGCGGCUCAACCGUCAAAUUGCAUUUGAUACUGGCAGCCUUGAGUACAGUUGAGGUAAGCGGCAUUCCUUGUGUAGCGG